UUCUCUUCUUUUCGUCUUUAAGUAUAUUUGAACUUGGAUUUGCUUGUAAUCGUUGAUGUGCACUUCUUUCAUGAAUACCAACCAUAGUAACUCCAAUAGGCCAAGGUGCAUUUCCAAUUGUCAGACGUAAAUACAUAUCAUUGGCUUUGACAAAUUCGUGUUUUUGGCAUCUGUAACAAAUUUCAGCUAUGCUUUUAAAAAUAUCGUCGUUUAAAGCUUCAUCGACUAUCAGUUGUAUAAGUACAUCAAGAUCUUGCUUAGCUUGACGAAAUAUUUUUAAUUGCAUCUGACUCUCAGAACUUUCGAAAGAGUUGAUGGAUUUUGAAGACAAAAAGUUGUCCCAAAUGCGGAUUCCAUGUUGAAGAAAAGCAACUACUUGCUUGGAUACUUUGGGUUUGGUGGUAGUAGCAUGCUCAAAGUCGAUUGUUUCAACUCCUUUAGUAAGGAGUUCA